GACGCGGCACACAGNUCAGUAACACGUGGCUAACCUGCCCUUGGGACAAGGACAACUCCGGGAAACUGGGGCUAAUCCNNGAUAAGUGAGAACUCCUGGAAUGGAUUCUCGCUCAAAGGACGUUUAGACCAUGCUUCUAGGCGUCGCCCAAGGAGGGGGCCGCGACCGAUCAGGUUGUUGGUGAGGUAACGGCUCACCAAGCCUUUAACCGGUACGGGCCGUGAGAGCGGAAGCCCGGAGAUGGGCACUGAGACAAGGGCCCAGGCCCUACGGGGCGCAGCAGUCGCGAAAACUCCGCAAUACACGAAAGUGUGACGGGGCUAUCCCGAGUGCCAUCCGCUGAGGAUGGCUUUUCCCCAGUGUAUAAAGCUGGGGGAAUAAGGAGAGGGCAAGCCUGGUGUCAGCCGCCGCGGUAAUACCAGCUCUCCGAGUGGUGGGGAUGUUUAUUGGGCCUAAAGCAUUCGUAGCCUGCUUGGCAAGUCCUCCGUUAAAUCCAACGAUUCAAUCGUUGGGCUGCGGGGGAUACUGUCCAGCUAGGGGGCGGGAGAGGCCGACGGUAUCCCCGGGGUAGGGGUGAAAUCCUGUAAUCCUAGGAGGACCAUCAGUGGCGAAGGCGUCUAGCUAGAACGGAUCCGACGGUCAGGAACGAAGCCCUGGGUCGCAAACUGGAUUAGAUACCCAGGUAGUCCAGGGUGUAAACGCUGCGAGCUUGGUGUCGGAGGUCCUACGAGGGUGUCCGGUGCCGGAGAGAAGUUGUUAAGCUCGCCGCUUGGGGAGUACGGUCGCAAGACUGAAACUUAA
rnacentral:rRNA from 1 species